GGGCACAUCCAAGUGUGUUUUAAAGCACCUCAGGUCUCACUUGAAGCUUUGUAUUCCAACCACAGUAUUCUGUCAUGCUAAAAAAGCUGCUUAAGGCAAGACAGAUUAGCUGUCCUCCAGAAAUGACUGUACCUCUGUGGACUACAGGCAGGCGGAGGCCGAGCCGUGCUGGAUGCCUGUGUCUCUGACAGGUGAUGCUUGGUCAGGUGGCCCACCAGAUUAGGGGCAUCCACUGCCCACCCCACUGCCCAUGGUGUCCUGAAAAAGAGAUAAAAGCAACGUUAGCUGUCAGUGAUACAGCUGGAUAUCCAUAUUGCCACACGUAACAGUACCCUGGAGAUCCUCUGCAGGGACCAACAUUUUAAUUCCUCCUUUGGUUCGCCAAAAUAGAAAUGUGCCUUUCUGUGGUUCUGUGAAAUGACUUGUUUUAUGUAACUGUACCAAUCUAGCAGAUACACAACCUCCUCUCCCCUCUUUGCAGAUAAAAAAACUGUUUUCCCCCUGGAGGCUGUUAUUGCUGCUGUGGUGGUGGUUACGCUCACCGUGCUUUUUGGAAUUGUGGCUCGAAAAGAUAAAAUUUUUAAGUGCUUCAAGAAAUCAAGUGAAACAGCUCUGUAAGUAUUUGACUGCUUAUUCAUGCAGCUUCCCAGAACAAGCUUCUGAAUUAAAUCCUGUCUUUAAGCCUCAGCAGAAGCUGGGGAACAAAAGACCUCUCAACACACUAACUCCAGCCAGGCUGAGCUCCCCUGCUUCUGCUCUGGCUGAAGUUGGCCUGCACCUCCUCUCCCAGCAGAGAGGCUGGGCAGGAGCACGGGGACAGGAGCACAGAGGCACAGCCCCAGGUGGCUCCUGGCCUGGCCAUCCCAGCACCCUGCAAAGCCUGUGGGGAGGCAGUGGGGGAAAACGGGAUGCCCCAAUACAGCCCAAGUGAAUUCCACUCGGAUGUUUUUGUAUUAUUUUUUUUCCAUAGUAGGUGAUUUUUCUUUUUUUUGUUUUCAUUUCGCUGCAGGUAAGGAUCAGCAAGUUCCCGUGCACGCCCACAGCUUCUAGUGGCGGAACACAAACCCCUGCAAAGAGAUGAUUAAACCCUGCCAUAAGGCUCGAGUUCCUGUGGUCUUUUUGAAAUACAAAUACUUCUUCACGGCUCCCGAUUCUGGUUUAUUGUUUAAAGCACAGCCGGGGGGGGCAGGCUGCCAAACCUUCCCUGU
rnacentral:lncRNA from 1 species